AGGAACUUGUUUGGGCCAAUGACUGCAGUGCCUUUGCCUUUUGACAGUGGUAUUUCUGCUUUAUUACUACCUUACUAUAUAUCACAUGGAGAAUUUCUAUAAAAUAUGACUAAACAUAAAUUGUACCAUUAUAUAUUUGAAAGUUAUUCUGCCACCAUACUAAAUAUGAAAAAGCAAAUUUUUCCCUCUUAAGUUCUCUUUCUCCUUGUUAUAUCUUUGGACCUUUCUAGUAAACUGUAGCAUAGUAAUUUGAGGUUCACCGGACUAUUAAAUGUUGCUCUAAAUCACUCUAUCUCCUCCUACAUGGUCUUAAGCAAGUUUUUAUAUCAUUGUCAAGGUUCUUGGCUCUCAUGUGUGCUGUCAAAUGUGCUAAUAACCAGUGAAAAUAUCACUCCUUAUUACAGUAUUCUACUUACAGUUUUCAUGACAGUACAAAAAUGAUAUUUUUAAGCUCUUGCACGCAUAUCAGAGUGCUCUGCUCCCUGUCUUUACUUUUUCAUUUCUGUUAUUCCUCCAUUACAAACAAAGUCUCUUGUUUACUGUUCUGUCAGGAAGACUAUUUCUGUUUUGGAUGUAGAACACAUUGUGUCUUACUUGUUUUUUCAUGAAACAGUUAACCAGUAGGUUUGAGGGGGUACUAGCCAAAAGGGGUCUCUUUUAUUGAUGUUUACAUUGUUUAUUAAUUCCACAUAAGAUAGAGGCAUUCUGUGGUGGAGCCAUAGCAAAAAGUGUAAAAGGGGCAUGAAAACCCUUUACCUGGCAGCAAGUGCUGCCUCAAUCCCUCAAGCCCCAGACACGGACCAUCAUUAAGAUAUAGGGACACGUCCCUGCUGCUGAUAGCUGAGUGCUGUGAGGACUCCUCCUGCAUUUACUGUUCUGUUAGCUCCCAUUUGUUAUUCCUUAUCUCUGCUCUGUCUCCAUACGUUUCCUGGUGAAGGCAAUAUGUUGUUUUGGGGGUUUUUUCCACUGAGAAAUGAGCUCGAAAAAUUUAGUUUUGCCAAAUACACAUGACAGGAAUUGAAACAUGCUGCUUUUCCUGAUGCUGGCAGCAGUUCAGUGAUCCCAGUGGUGGCCUCAGCAGUGGCACGUGGAUAUUCUCAGCUCAGUCAGAGAGAAAGAGAAAGGUUUUCUAACCAGGCAAGAGCCUGGGAAACAGUUGGGAAAGAAUGUAAAUAAUUCUGUAAUCUAUCUUGUUAUUCACAUUGUUUAUAGAUAUGUUCUGCUACUGUGCGUCAUUCACUGCACAUCAAUGCUGUGACAUGUUUUUACUCUAAGACCAGUGAAAUUAGCCUUCUCGAUGUUCUCUAUAUAUAGAGCGGUACAUUUGAAAUAAAGAGAGAGCUCAUUUUCUUUGCCUUCUGAUCUGGAGUUCUCUGUUCCCGUCCUGCUCGACAGCGACAGUGGCAGGAAUGGCCACAGGAGCUGCUGGAAUGGGAGCACAGAGCAGCAGGAGGCUGUGCCUGUCUCAUGAACCAUUGUAUCUUGCCUACUGGAGGACAUUCUGCAUUACAAGUGAGAGAACACAAAAAUUUAAAGGACUUUACAGGGUUUAUUUUGACUUUGCCUUUUCCUGAUGAAGAACAUUUCGGGUUUGAUUCUUAAUGAUCUGAAAAUUCCUAUCAUUUGGUGUGUGAAACGGUUAAGACUCUUCAUCAGCUGUGCCUUGGCCUUCCCCUGUUUACUCUGUAAUAGAGUUAUAGGCUAAGGAGGAGUAAGAGACAUUCAGUUAAAACACAAGUGUGAAACUGUGCAAGAAGAGAGGAAUAAAAGGUUCAUAUUUAGCUUGGCAUGGUGCUCUUUAAUCAUCUCUUGCCUUGAGGAUGCUUGGCUCUGCCAGGGAAGCCCAAAGUCCUUCAGGCCAGAGUCCAUCUCUGCCCAGAAAUGUUCAUGUUCCUGUUUGUUUGUUCUUUGGCCCAGAAGCCCGGUAAUCUGGGCUUUUCCCAAUGAUUAUGUACUUGUGGCACAGGCCACUGUAGUACAUCCAGUGUGUUUGGAAGAUGUCUGUUUUAUGGUUUUAUUAUGGAAAUAAAAAUUCUCAG